GAGACAUUUAUGAAUAAAAAUAAAAAUACUUGUAAACAGUUAGGUUUCACUGCAGCAACAUUCCAAAUAUCAAAUGGGACCUUCAAACACAAAAUUAUAAAAACCCAAGACCGCCUCUUUUCUCGAGAAGCAUGAAGCAUUGAAACCAAACUCAAAAGGUUUCUUUCACGUCACUUAUCAAAAAAAUUGUGGAAUUCCUUUGCUGACUGACAUUUUCAAGCUCUUCAACUUCCUUUCACCCCUUCUUGUGUUUCGCUUCC